AACGAACGCUGGCGGCGCGCCUAAUACAUGCAAGUCGAGCGAGAAGACGUAGCAAUACGUUUGUAAAGCGGCGAACGGGUGAGGAAUACACGGGUAACCUACCCUCGAGUGGGGAAUAACUAGCCGAAAGGUUAGCUAAUACCGCGUACGCUUCUUGGACUUCGGUUCAGGGAGGAAAGCGAUACCGUGGGUAUCGCGCUCUUGGAUGGGCUCAUGUCCUAUCAGCUUGUUGGGAGGUAACGGCUCACCAAGGCUUCGACGGGUAGCUGGUCUGAGAGGACGAUCAGCCACACUGGCACUGCGACACGGGCCAGACUCCUACGGGAGGCAGCAGUAAGGAAUAUUGCGCAAUGGGCGAAAGCCUGACGCAGCGACGCCGCGUGGGGGAUGAAGGUCUUCGGAUUGUAAACCCCUUUCGGG
rnacentral:rRNA from 1 species